rnacentral:rRNA from 1 species
UACGUAGGCAGCAAGCGUUGUUCGGAAUUACUGGGCGUAAAGGGCUCGUAGGCGGCCAACUAAGUCAGACGUGAAAUCCCUCGGCUUAACCGGGGAACUGCGUCUGAUACUGGAUGGCUUGAGGUUGGGAGGGGGAUGCGGAAUUCCAGGUGUAGCGGUGAAAUGCGUAGAUAUCAGGAGGAACACCUGUGGCGAAAGCGGCUCACUGGACCAUAACUGACGCUGAUGCACGAAAGCUAGGGGAGCAAACAGG